GGCGCCUGCCUCAACCGAACCAACGGUCCCGUGAACCGGCCGCGGCGUGCGGCGGCCCGGGGAGAGGCGCUAAYGGGGUCGGGCGACCCUUCCCCAUCCCCGAGUCCCGCACGAGCCUCGCGGGGGACCGAGACCUGGAGAGAYGCAAGGCCGAGCGGCGAACGCGGCUCCUCCAGCCGCCGCUUCCCUGCUGCGAGCRAGGACCCGGAGCGCGGCCUCAAAAAUCUCAACCCCGGGGCCCAGGGCCCUGCCGGAGGGGUCGAAGCCGACGCAGUCGAAGCUCUUCUUGCAGCAUCAUCUGGGCCGAGCAGGUUUCCUGUUAGGCAACGCCGCCGCCGCCAGCCGGGCCCCACGCAGGAAGCGGCGCCGAGCACCCUCUUCUCGGCGCCCGGAGCCGCUCCGGAGCCCCGAAACGGCUUCGCGAGCCGCCGGCAGCACGAGGCGCCGCGCGGAGCCCGGCCGCCUUCAACAACCACCUCGCRGGGCAGAGAGGAGGCAAGGCCGCGAGGAAAGCGGGAUGCCGAAACGCGGGCGCCCGCGCUGCCGGAGCGUAACGGGCCUCCUUCCAUCAGCGGCAAGAGGCAACGGUGCAAAACUUCCCCUCCCCUCGCGGCAGCUGGACCGUCUCGGCCUGGCUUCGCCCCGAGCUCGACGGGUCCCACCCUGCCGGGGCAGGGUGCUCUGCCCUGCGCCCAUCCCAGCGGAUGUGCCGAAGAGCCUGUUUUUGGCGGAGGCUGGCGUUCGCUGCCGGGCACAGACGGCUUCCCGAGGACAGUCUCUACGAGCAGAGGCGAUUCCUGCUCUUCUCCAGUGUCAACGCUCUCGCCAGGCUGGGAUGCAGGCGGCAUUUCGGGUCCGACUACAGGUGCCGGAUUGGCAUCGGCAAAACCCGGGAGCAUCUYGCCUCCUCCCGGAUGCGCAGGACGCCCCUGGCUCUCCGCUCCUGCCCAGCUGGCUGAUCCCAGACCCCCGGGGCUCAGUUUUACUUGUAAAAGGCCGGAUCGUGGCCAUGGGCUGCCCACCCUGAGCCAGCCUGGCCACCCCGGCGCGCAGCACGGGAGCCGUCGUGCCCCGCUCCGGCACCCAGCUGACGGCCCGAAGGCCAGCGGCCUCCCUCAGGGCUUGCCGGCCACGGAGAGCGGCGGAGCCUCUCCCCGCGGCCACRGGCCUCGCCGCCAGCCCGGCGGGGACGCCGCGGGGCGAUGCCUCGGGGCAGCGGCAGCCCAAGGCGGCAGGCUGCCAGCACGCGGCCUAACCCGGCCCUGUUUUUUUUUUUUCGGCUGAGACUCCA
rnacentral:lncRNA from 1 species